rnacentral:rRNA from 1 species
CUGGCGGCGUGCCUAACACAUGCAAGUCGAACGAAGCAUAUCGGACGGAGAUUCGUCGAAGACUGGUAUGACUUAGUGGCGGACGGGUGAGUAAUGUAUGAGCAACCUGCCUUUCAGAGGGGGACAACAGUUGGAAACGACUGCUAAUACCGCGUAACGUAUUUAGGAGGCAUCUCUUGAAUACCAAAGGAGCAAUCCGCUGAAAGAUGGGCUCAUAUCUGAUUAGCUUGUUGGCGGGGUAACGGCCCACCAAGGCGACGAUCAGUAGCCGGACUGAGAGGUUGAACGGCCACAUUGGGACUGAGAUACGGCCCAGACUCCUACGGGAGGCAGCAGUGGGGAAUAUUGGGCAAUGGGUGAAAGCCCUGACCCAGCAACGCCGCGUGAAGGAAGAAGGUCUUCGGAUUGUAAACUUCUUUUAUGAGGGACGAAGGACGUGACGGUACCUCAUGAAUAAGCCACGGCUAACUACGUGCCAGCCGCCGC